GACUCCCCGGCGCCGCCGCCUCGUGGGCGGCCAAGCACCGACACGGGCAGCACGACCUCCCCGGGGCUGAGCUGCUGCAGCCGCAUGGACUCCUCGUAGGUGGGCAGGUGAAGAGAGGUUAGAGCCAGAGCAAAGGGGUGGCUGUGCUGAAAGUGGAAUCCAGGGCUCCUCGAAGAGGCCAAACCGGUGUGAUUUCAUCAGGAUCCUAAUUCCUUUCAUUGGCUUAACAGCCACAUUUCCUACCAUGCAUAGAGACAAGGGGGAUGGGUGUUUUUUAUGGAUUUUUCCCUUUGGCCAUAUUUCCAAGUUGUAAUGCCGCUUACACUUUUGUUAGAGUUCUCUCAAGGAAGGUUUCUAACGACCCUGCUUGCCAGUGUCCUGUUGGCAAAAGGAUGUGUUGAGAGCCAGCCAGUCAUAAAACUCUGCUGCCAGGAAAUGAGGCAGGAGUUCACAGACUGAGAGAUUAGAGCCGCGCUCCAGGCUGUAUUCUUCCCUGCUCCACUUCUGAUGGACUUUGCCAUUUCUGCUUAUUUAAACAUGUAUUGUUUUCUUCUCAUACCAGAAGUGAAUAGGUGCUUGUAAAUAAUUCAAACAAUCCAGAAAUGUAUAAUUUAGGAAGUCAAAAGUCAUCUGUAACUCCUUCCUUAUAACUACCGCGAAGGGUUUGUUGAGCAUUGCUCCAGGUUUUAAGGCGUAUAUACUAACAUAUGCGUUCGUUUUUAAAAGUGGAAUCAAAUUAGACACACGGUUCUAUACCUUGCUGUUUCACUUCACAUUACAGAUGAAAACUUUUUAUCUUUAAAUUGACCUCAACUGUGUUGAAAGCUGUGGACAUACUACACUUUAGUUAGGCCCCUACUGAAGGAUAUGUGGGUGGCUUCUAAUAUUUCAAUAUUAUAAAAUGUACUGCAAUGACAAUUUUUGUUUAUAUUUCUUUGCAGGCCUGGGUAAGCGUUUGGCUGGCUAAGUCCCUAGACAUUUCUGCCUAUUCUCGAAUAAUGUUAAAUUUUUAACUGCAAAAAGGACAAAGUGUGUUGCAUUUUAUUAUUGGAGUAAUGACUGGUGAGCGAAGGCAGUUUGUUCAGUUUGUUCAUGUGAAUGAAAUGUGUGGAUCAUUUUCCACAUUUCUUGCCAGCUCUCGUGGUUGUGAAAACCAUAACAAUUCCUAACCCCACUGCCUUACUUCCUGGAUUCCUUGUUAAAUAGAGAAAUGGGGGGCACCUGGGUGG